AGUGAACGCUGGCGGCGUGCCUAAUACAUGCAAGUCGAACGAAGUGGCGCACGGGUGAGUAAUAUAUAGUUAAUCUGCCCUACACAGAGGAACAACAGGUGGAAACGGCUGCUAAUACAUACUAGUGUAGGAUGAGACUAUAUCGUAUCAGCUAGUUGGGAAGGUAAUGGCUUACAAAGGCUAUGACGCGUAACUGGUCUGAGAGGAUGAUCAGUCACAUUGUAACUGAGACACGGUCCAAACUCCGACGGGAGGCAGCAGUAAGGAAGAUUGCUCAAUGGGGGAAACCCUGACGCAGCAACGCCGCGUGGAGGAUGACACUUUUCGGAGCGUAAACUCCUUUUAUCAUGAAAGCGGUACCUGAUGAAUAAGCACCGGCUAACUCCGUGCCAGCAGCCGCGGUAAUAC
rnacentral:rRNA from 1 species